GACGUCACCGGCUCCGGUCACGCCCCUUCCGUCGCCAUCUUGUCUCCGAGCGGUUCCUUGUCAGUUAAUGGCUGAUGAUGACGUAAAAUGUAAUAGCGGCUGACCCGGUCGGAAUUCUGACUGGGAGACGCCGGUAAUGCCUCGGCGGUUACCAGCCUUAACUGUUUUCGGCAUCCCAGCCGCUGCAACCAGCUCCUAUGCUGAUCUAUGUAAUGGACAUAAUGGUGAGACACUCAUCCGAUCCUACUCACUCUACAAAGUGGAUACCAAUCAUUGACUAAACUAACAGUCAUAUUUACAAUCUCUUUAACAUUCUUAAUGUACAGAAGCUUUUUUUUUUUUUUUUGGUAGUUUCUUUGUCACAUUUGGCUUAGGGGAUGGGGUGGUAGGUGCCAUAAUAGAUUCCCCUUGGAUACUCUUCACUUCUAGGAUUGAGGAUUCCGGCAAUGCAGGCUAUAGUUCCUGAACAGACCCAAUAGCUAAGGCCAGAUUCACACAGUAUUUUUCCUGGUGUAAUUUCUGUAAUGUAAAAUUGCAGGCAUAUUUUUGCGGUCUUAAUUUUGUGAGCGCAUUUUUCCUUUUACUCCAUAUUUUUCCUUUAUGUUACUUUUGAACAAUGGCUUUAAAUUUGAGGUGAUUUAGGUAGCUUUUGUUGAACCUAAAGAUUCUUUCUCAUUAAGAAAUAACAUGUUAACAAUCCAAAAUAAGACUGGCAAAUCCAUCCGCAAAUAUGUGGCAUGUCACUUAAUUUUGUGGAUGCAAAAAAAUGCUUUGCUUUUAAAUGCUGUGUGCCUAAACCACCAACAACAUCUUUGACGCAAUUUUUUUUUUGUGGCUGCAAAUGUAAAAUAAAUAUGCCUGGAGAUACACUGUGUAAACACAGCAAAACAAUUCACAGUCCUUAUUAUGUGACUUUUUCAUGAUCACAAAUGAACUCUUGAUAUUCACCACACAGUCUGUUACCAUACUAAAAUUGGUGGUUCCUCCUGGCAAUUGGCACCUGUGCCCAACAGUUCUUAUAUAAUGAUUCUUCUCUAGGGAAGGAAACCCUCUCAAGCAGUCUGUUUUAUAUUUGAGCACUGAUAUCACUGAGGCCUCUUACAGGGGAACUUUCUCGCACUAAAGUUUACACAGGCUACAGACCCUAGAGCUGUUUUGGGUGGCUGCUUCCCUCAAUCGUCUAAAAUUAGAAAUUUUAGAAGCUUUCCUGCUCCCUCUAGUGGCCAUCAUGUUGCCUCCCAUGUAAUGAAAACCAGCUUUUAACCCAAAGAUUGUGCAACAUAAACAGCAUUACUGCUGUCGUAGCAAACCAAGGGUUAGCA